rnacentral:rRNA from 1 species
AGAGUUUGAUCAUGGCUCAGGACGAACGCUGGCGGCGUGCCUAAUACAUGCAAGUCGAACGAAGCUUUCUUUCACCGAAUGCUUGCAUUCACCGAAAGAAGCUUAGUGGCGAACGGGUGAGUAACACGUAGGCAACCUGCCCAAAAGAGGGGGAUAACACUUGGAAACAGGUGCUAAUACCGCAUAACCAUGAACACCGCAUGAUGUUCAUGUAAAAGACGGCUUUUACUGUCACUUUUGGAUGGGCCUGCGGCGUAUUAACUUGUUGGUGGGGUAACGGCCUACCAAGGUGAUGAUACGUAGCCGAACUGAGAGGUUGAUCGGCCACAUUGGGACUGAGACACGGCCCAAACUCCUACGGGAGGCAGCAGUAGGGAAUCUUCCACAAUGGACGAAAGUCUGAUGGAGCAACGCCGCGUGAAUGAAGAAGGCCUUCGGGUCGUAAAUUCUGUUGUCAGAGAAGAACGUGCGUGAGAGUAACUGUUCACGUAUUGACGGUAUCUGACCAGAAAGCCACGGCUAACUACGUGCCAGCAGCCGCGGUAAUACGUAGGUGGCGAGCGUUGUCCGGAUUUAUUGGGCGUAAAGGGAACGCAGGCGGUCUUUUAAGUCUGAUGUGAAAGCCUUCGGCUUAACCGAAGUAGUGCAUUGGAAACUGGAAGACUUGAGUGCAGAAGAGGAGAGUGGAACUCCAUGUGUAGCGGUGAAAUGCGUAGAUAUAUGGAAGAACACCAGUGGCGAAAGCGGCUCUCUGGUCUGUAACUGACGCUGAGGUUCGAAAGCGUGGGUAGCAAACAGGAUUAGAUACCCUGGUAGUCCACGCCGUAAACGAUGAGUGCUAAGUGUUGGAGGGUUUCCGCCCUUCAGUGCUGCAGCUAACGCAUUAAGCACUCCGCCUGGGGAGUACGGUCGCAAGACUGAAACUCAAAGGAAUUGACGGGGGCCCGCACAAGCGGUGGAGCAUGUGGUUUAAUUCGAAGCAACGCGAAGAACCUUACCAGGUCUUGACAUCUUCUGACAAUUCCAGAGAUGGAACGUUCCCUUCGGGGACAGAAUGACAGGUGGUGCAUGGUUGUCGUCAGCUCGUGUCGUGAGAUGUUGGGUUAAGUCCCGCAACGAGCGCAACCCUUAUUGUCAGUUGCCAUCAUUAAGUUGGGCACUCUGGCGAGACUGCCGGUGACAAACCGGAGGAAGGUGGGGAUGACGUCAAAUCAUCAUGCCCCUUAUGACCUGGGCUACACACGUGCUACAAUGGACGGUACAACGAAUCGCUAACUCGCGAGGGCAAGCUAAUCUCUUAAAGCCGUUCUCAGUUCGGAUUGCAGGCUGCAACUCGCCUGCAUGAAGUCGGAAUCGCUAGUAAUCGCGAAUCAGCAUGUCGCGGUGAAUACGUUCCCGGGCCUUGUACACACCGCCCGUCACACCAUGAGAGUUUGUAACACCCAAAGUCGGUGGGGUAACCUUUUGGAGCCAGCCGCCUAAGGUGGGACAGAUGAUUGGGGUGAAGUCGUAACAAGGUA